GAAGCACUCGACCAAGAAAAAUCUCCCCGAAACAGGUUCAAUCCCCAAAACUCUAGAUCCGAAAUUCAGGCCUUUCUACUUGGAUUUGAGGGAUUCUGGCAUGAAAUAACGAUGGGGGAAUGAAGACGGUUGUCUGGUAUGAUUUUGGGUUCAUUUGGGACAAUUUCUGACUUGGCCGGAAAAUUAAAAUUGAAGAUUCGAAGAGGUGGACUAUGAUUCGAAGGUUUUCAAGCGUGGAUUCAUGAUGAGGGAGAGGAGGGGGAGCUAUGGUGUCAUUUUUGGAGUGAUUGGAGGGUAACGUCGCCGUGCACGGCGGUGACAGCGCUAGGGUUUGGCAUUUAUGAGGCGCUUAAAUGAUACUUGAAGAAAAUUGGUGGUGGAUUUAGAACGGCGGCGGCGUUACAUUCUCUAUUUGGAGAGUUUGGAGACGAUGAAUUUNNNNNNNNNNNNNNNNNNNNNNNNNNNGUAGGGUAAUAUUCGGACAUUUAUAUACCUUUUAACCUAGGAGGCUUCCCAUCCGUUAGAUCAAAUAUUAAAGGUUGGGAUUGAUUCUGGGAACGACCGUUUGGGCUCGUUUAAGAACCGGACUGGGUCAGGGAGUUUGGGCUGGGGUUGGAACAGGUCUGAGGGGGUUUGGGCUGGAAAUUGUUUCAAGAAAUGGCCCAACUUUGAGUCUUUAUUAAGACCACUUUUUUUAACUCGUUUUUCUGUUUCUCUUUUACUUUCUUUUUGUAUUUUAACUUUUAUGUAAUUUAUAAAAAAUGCAAGACUAGAAAUGAGAUCUAAUUUAUUUUUCAAACUAAAUUAAUUAAUUUCUAAAAUUGUUUAAGAACUAAUUUACGACCAAUUUUACAAUUAAUAACUAAAAAUGCAAAAAGGGGCUAUUUUUGUUAUUUUCCUUGUUUUAGUAAUACUAAUUAACUAAUAAGCUAAAAUUGAGCUCAAAAACGCCAAUAUGCUAUUUUUGUAUCUUUUUUCAUGAACUAUGGCAACAACAAUACACAAAAACGCGAACAAGACACAAAAUUAAAUAAUUAAUUCCUAAAAAUUCAAAUAAUAAAGAAUUUUUUUGAAUUUUAAUGAAUAUGUAGGAGUAAUUUAAGUAUGACAAAAAUUACGUGCUCACAUCAGUUAAGUGCAAAAGAGCUAUUGGUAGGCCCACGAAAUAUAUAAAGUACGAAAUUAGAAGGCAUUUUAUGUAAAACGCAGUAUUUAAUCACGUUUUGCAUAUUUUGGUCAUCAAUUUUUUUCCCACCUAUUAAGUAUUUUGAGUCUAAAUAAUAACAUUUCGGUUCCGAAGACUAGUAAAUUGUAUAAUCAUGUCAUCUACAAAUUCAACUAGUUACUCUUUUAUUCACUUUAUUAUUUCUCCGUCAGUUAAUUAUAGUAUUGCACCGUUUUGCUCCAGAGUCCAAGUGUUGUCAUGUCCGGUUAUUUUCAUGCUUUGUCCUAUCCAAAAAAAGUAUAACCACUUCAUCUAAUUAACUCAAAUUCUUUAUCCUUUUCGCUUUUCUACCAUCAAACUUACUCUGUCGGUUCUAUGCGAACCUAUUUACUGGACACGAAAUUUAAGAAAAAUAAAAUUUUUAAAAUUUGUAGUCCUAAACAAGUCAAAAAGAGACACAUGUCAUGCAACAUCCAGCAAUAACUCGUAAAACAUCUACGUCAAACAACCUUGUAUACAUCCGGAUUUGACUUCCAUAUCAUAAUCUCACGAUACUCUCUUACGAUGUACAUUUUACAAGCCCUUAUUAGGCAAGCUUUAUUAGGAAAAAUAUGCCCUUUGCAACACUGUGGUCUAAACUCAUCUCACAUUGUUGUCCGAAUUCCAUCAAGAUCCCUUGUGAGGGUAUCCACAUCCAGCAUACUCGACAAUUUAUCAAGGUAAGGGAUAUGCCUUGAAUGAAACAACAUAUGAGACUCGUACACUCUUGGUCUAAUGGAAGGUGGAGCAUGCUCCCUCGUAAGCUCAGGUCUGACAUUCUCUUCCUCCUCAUCAUCACCCUCGUCAGGGAAGGGUGUGUCAUCUCCAGACUCAUAAGCAUUGUUGUCAUAAUGACUAUUAUCUUCCUGACUCUGCGCAUAUGCCAAAUCCCGAGUAAAUAAGUUGUCCGGGGGCAAUUGAGAGAGGUCAGGACCAUCAAGUUGCUCAUUUUCACUGCACAAACAACAACAUAAUAAGCUACUCAAAUUGGUAAAUACUUUACAUAUAGCUAUAUCACUUCACUAACAAGCCGUAAUGUUGACAUUCCAUGGUGAACAUUAUCUUGUUGGUGAUGGCUCCCGGAUGGACCACCGUAAUCCAACACGCCAAAACUACGCAUACUCCAACUGGGUGUGGGUUCAUAACUUGUAAAAUUCAUAUAUAGACGGUGCCCCCUGUGGAAUAUAUAAGUGUUAAUAAAAAUUCAAUACAACAAAAAUAAAUAACACAAAGGAAAAUUGAAGUUUACCAAUCGUCUUGUGUAUUAUGUAAAGUAAGAGAGAAAUUAUUUCCUCGCUCCUCGUUCGCCUGUGGAGAUAAGUUUAGAUCCAGUCAAACUCUUUCAACCGGAACCCGUUGGGCUAAAACUACUCCAGAAUAACCACCCGAUGAUUGAGGUUAUCCCUGCUUUGCGCAACAUCAUUAUUGCGAAUGCCUUCAACCUUCACAUACAUUUCCAAUAUUUUUAUCAAAAUAAGUUCCCGGUAUUUACCCAGAGUCCACAAAAAAUCUCUUAGAGUUUAAUCAUCAUCGAUGUUAAACCAGUGUAACAAGCAACCCCUUGUGGAGUCACAGAACACGAAUAUCUUUCGGUUAUUUUAAGAUUCACCGAAAGUUUGCUCAACCUCAUUUUGUUACAUGAUAACGAUACCAGUCUAUCGUACUCCAUUGUAAACGAACUCUGUGGAGAUAAACUAUAACUCACUGAGUUAUUCGCCACCACAACCUCACCCCUCCCCCCCACCAAAUAUAUUGAAAUCCUUACUUUUCGCUCUUCAUACAUUAUGAAAAAAGCUUGAGAAUUUAACAAGAAGAAAAAUUUAUCACGAAGUUGGAGUAUUUCUGAAUAACUUUUCUCAGAACGCUUAAUGCCUUUAAAUAAGGCAAUCCCCAAUCCGGGAGUGGGGGAGGGGGGAGGGGGAUCAAAUUUUUGAAAGUAAAACGGACUUUAAAAGGGCGUUUUACAUAUUUGAAUUAUUGCUAUGUCAGUUGUCACACCUCCUUUUUAAUACCCACUCCAAGUGAUAUGUAUAAAGGAGUUUUUCAGUUAAAGUGACAUUAUUCGGAUCGGAAUUAUUUAUUUAGAGUCACACUUCGGAAAGGCUUGGCUUUUGGUGUCUCAAGUCACCGGUUUAUCUUGAAUCCCGAAUCGAGGAAAAUUGUCGACUUCCCAAUUGGAGUUUGCGAACCAGAAAUUCUAAGCAAGGAAUUCUGUUGACCAGAGGGAAGGUGUUAGACACCCCCAGAUCCCGUGGUUCUAGCACGAUCACUUAAAUUAUUGUAAAUGGCUAAGUAUCUGAUUUUAUCAGAUAAUGAACCUAUAUGUUGAUUUUUGCUUUUUACCACUUUUAUUUAACUUUUAAAGAAAGUUGAACAUCGUUUAAAACAUGUCUUUGGAUCGCGUCACAUGAAAUGCACCCCCAAUCCUAAACACAUUUUUUUCAAACAUUUUGGGAUUUUAAUAUAGGUCACAUGAAAUGCACACCCGUAUUUAGGAAGGUAAUGUUAAAAGCGCGUCUAAAGAAUCUAACGCGUUAUUACUUUUGGGAAGGCCGUGAAAUUCGCUAAACGACCCGUCACAGAGUCAAAGCAAUUAUAAACGUUUACCGAGGGCUCCGCAAGUUGAGCUUUAUUUGGCGAGGCUCGUCUCGUCUUAUUUUAAAAGGGUAAACCUAAGAGUGACUAUAUUUUUUAUUUUUAUUUUUUGUCUUUAAAAGAAAAGAAAAAUCCUAAUUGAUUAAGACUAAAGUCCGGGCCUCAAGUUCAAGUCGAGGUCCAUAGAAGGAUAAGCCUUUUAGUCUGGACCACCUACCUAAGUCAAAACCCGAACGUCAUAUUUAAACUAAUGGAACAAUUGCUAUUUAUUAGCCAUGGUCUCAAAGAACCCACUCACUCGCCUUAGGCAGAAAUAUCUCAAACUCACCAGUCAGGCUGCGUAGGUUCAUGGGGAUCGAAUACCUGAAGACGCUGUGACUCCCACCACAACAAAGCAUGCAGAAAUAACAAUGGGGCCCAAAUGACCAAGCCUUACUACCAAUUUAAACAAUGAACAGGAACUCCAGAAUUUUAAUCUAACUAUUAUACCAAUCAAUUAUCAUGAGCUAACAAUUUUAACGAGUUGGUUUAGUGUAAGUGAACCUUGUUUUCUCUACUGAUUUCAAACAAUUGUUAAAGGCUAAGCCAAAGCAUGAAUAACCUUAAUCAAUGCUUAACUAAUUUGGCCUACUGGGAUAACAUACAGGGCAGGAACUUCUCUCAUAAUUACUAAAAGCUAAGUUACAAAAACUGAAUCCAAAUGCUUUUUCUAUAGGCGCAAUUCGACUAAUGAACCACAGGUUGAUAAUGAGUCUCAAACGACCCAAUUAACUCAGUAUUAGCUUGAAAGGCAACAGAAACACAAAUUGAAUCCAAAUCGAGUUCCUUAAUUCAUGUGAUUCCAGUUAGCAAUUCUAGGACUUCCUCACCAAUUCACUCAAUUCCAAUUAAUUGAACAUUAGCUUGAUUCCAGUCAUAUGCCUACUCUGUGCAAUACGAAAUUAGUGGUGUCACGUGACACAUCACAUACAAAUCAACUACAACUAUCCAAACCCCAAACAAACAACUACUCCCAAUCAACUUCAACUAUUGCAAGAGUUCAGUUAUACUUUAUGCAAUUACAGGAUCCAUAGUGUAACAAGUGACUAAUUCACAUUCAUUGUUCAGUUUAGUACAAACCAGUCAGUCUAAUUAACAGUCUAGGAAUUAUAUGAAUAAAAAAUGAACUGAACCAAAUACAAAUCAUUUAUUACAGUUGAACAAACACGUUUCAGGAGACAGGUGAACAUUUUAUUUCAUUUUUCAACUUCGAAGCUACAUCAAGCUGAAUUCAAAUGUGUACCUGGAGUUUGGUUCAAAUACGAAGCAGAAGAGGAGUCAGCAACAAUAACAACAGCGACCAGAAUUCAACCAGUGAGAAUAAAAUCAAAAUCAACCCAGAACAGCUCUAGAACAACCCAGGAAACAAUCAGAACUUAACAAAGUCCAUGAAAACCAGAUAAACUCGCUUGAAACCAAAUUAAAACUCGAAAUCCAGCCAAACUUACUUCUGAAAGUUUCAGCAAACUAAAACAAUCAGAAAUUGAACUAGAGAAGUGUAAAUCAACGGCUAAACGGUGAAAUUCAACCAGAAUUUAGAUGGAACAGUAUUUUUUUGGGUUUCCUAUCAUUUUUGUGUUUGUUUUUGGAUUUUUGGAGAUUUUUCUAUUGUUUUUUUUUUUUUCAGAUUUGAAUUUCAAAAUCAGAUCUAAAAUUAAAAGAAAAGGAGACUUUUUAGGGAUUUUUGAUGGCUGAAAGGGGCUGGGAAUUUUCAGGGAAUGUAAACCUGUAAUACAAGGCACUAAACAAUCCUUUUAUAGGCAGAAAUGGGGGCAGAAGGUUGUGGACACUUUCGCUCAUUUUUCCCCCAUUUUAUUUUCAGGAAAUUGGUGAUUAAUCCCUGAAUUCUCGUCUUGUUACCCAAGUUGUAGCAUUAAAAAAGCAGAAACCUAUAUUAAGGCCCCCUUCUAGAAGGCACUAGGGUAUUCUUUUAGCUAUGAAAAACCUAAACGACUCUUAACCUUACUUUGAAACUACUCUUCCUAAAGAAACUACCCUUUUCUAUGCCUAAAAUGCCCUUCUAAUAGUCUGAAAUUUACAGCCCAAUACUAACUACACCAAACCCCUUACCCCUGUUAAAAAUUAACUAAAGUUAAUCUUAGUGAGUCUAGAUCAGCUAUGAGCAAUCGAAAAAACUAAAAUAUAAUCCUAACUCACCUAAAUGCUUCAAUUAAUACUAUCAUUAGACUAAAGUAACCAGUCAAUUAAACAAAAGCAACAAACUAAUAACUGACAAACAACACUGAAAUUAUAAAACUAACAUCAUGAACUAGUAAACACGGAUUAAACACAGGAUUGAAACUAGAAAAAAUUCAAACAUAAUUAUGAUCUGAAUCACAACUAAUUCGAAUAAAAUAACAGUUAAACUAAGACAUUAAAAACAAAUUAAAACUAAAAGAGGCAGAAUUCAAAUAAGCUAACAAAGAGUUACUCUAACAUUUAAGCAAAACACAAGGGUGGAUUAAUGUUACCUAAAAUUAAUACUGAACUACACUAAAGAAUCAAAACGAAGUUAAACUAAUAUGAUGAGAUUAAAACGAACUCAAAUUUAGCUAUGAAUGGUCUCCAAAAUCGACCAAAUUAAACAGCGAAGAAGCUAUUAGACUAUAGUGCUAGAAAUCAAACUUAGAAUGUUGAAGAGAACUCACGAUAAGAAGCACUCGACCAAAAAAAUCUCCCCGAAACAGGUUCAAUCCCCAAAACUCUAGAUCCGAAAUUCAGGCCUUUCUACUUGGAUUUGAGGGAUUCUGGCAUGAAAUAACGAUGGGGGAAUGAAGACGGUUGUCUGGUAUGAUUUUGGGUUCAUUUGGGCCAAUUUGUGACUUGGCCGGAAAACCAAAAUUGAAGAUUCGAAGAGGUGGACUAUGAUUCGAAGGUUUUCAAGCGUGGAUUCAUGAUGAGGGAGAGGAGGGGGAGCUAUGGUGUCAUUUUUGGAGUGAUUGGAGGGUAACGUCGCCGUGCACGGCGGUGACAGCGCUAGGGUUUGGCAUUUAUGAGGCGCUUAAAUGAUACUUGAAGAAAAUUGGUGGUGGAUUUAGAACGG
rnacentral:lncRNA from 1 species